GCCUUCGUGGUGUGAUGGUCAGCACGCUCGGCGCGUAUUCAAGAGGACCGAGGUUCGAAUCUCGGCGAGGGCA
rfam:Stegodyphus mimosarum contig87455, whole genome shotgun sequence.